rnacentral:tRNA from 1 species
GGCGGGAGAGUAGAGUGGUAGAGUGCAUGCUUAGCAUGCAUGAGGACCUGGGUUCAAUCCCCAGUGCCUCCA